rnacentral:rRNA from 1 species
GACGAACGCUGGCGGCGUGCUUAACACAUGCAAGUCGAACGGAAAGGCCUGCAGCUUGCUGCGUGUACUCGAGUGGCUAACGGGUGAGUAACACGUGGGUGAUCUGCCUUUCACUUCGGGAUAAGCUUGGGAAACUGGGUCUAAUACCGGAUAGGACAGCUGUUUAGUGUCAGUUGUGGAAAGUUUUUGCGGUGCAAGAUGAGCUCGCGGCCUAUCAGCUUGUUGGUGGGGUAAUGGCCUACCAAGGCGUCGACGGGUAGCCGGCCUGAGAGGGUGUACGGCCACAUUGGGACUGAGAUACGGCCCAGACUCCUACGGGAGGCAGCAGUGGGGAAUAUUGCACAAUGGGAGGAAGCCUGAUGCAGCGACGCCGCGUGGGGGAUGAAGGCCUUCGGGUCGUAAACUCCUUUCGACAGGGACGAAGCUUUUGUGACGGUACCUGUAUAAGAAGCACCGGCUAACUACGUG